AUUUAGACAUGGAAGAAAAAAAAAAAAAAAAAAGGUUCUCCCAGGGCGAGGCUCAUCCAUUGCACUCCGGGUGUGCUGACCCCUGCGAUUUCCCCAAAUGCGGGAAACUCGACUGCAUAAUUUGUGGUAGUGGGGGACUGCGUUCGCGCUCUCCCCUG
rnacentral:snRNA from 1 species